rnacentral:rRNA from 1 species
AACGAACGCUGGCGGCAGGCCUAACACAUGCAAGUCGAACGCUGUAGCAAUACAGAGUGGCAGACGGGUGAGUAACACGUGGGAAUCUUCCUAUCGGUACGGAAUAGCUCAGGGAAACUUGGGGUAAUACCGCAUACGCCCUUCGGGGGAAAGAUUUAUCGCCGAUAGAUGAGCCCGCGUCUGAUUAGCUAGUUGGUGAGGUAAUGGCUCACCAAGGCGACGAUCAGUAGCUGGUCUGAGAGGAUGAUUAGCCACACUGGGACUGAGACACGGCCCAGACUCCUACGGGAGGCAGCAGUGGGGAAUAUUGGACAAUGGGCGCAAGCCUGAUCCAGCCAUGCCGCGUGAGUGACGAAGGUCUUCGGAUUGUAAAGCUCUUUUGCCAGGGACGAUAAUGACGGUACCUGGAGAAUAAGCCCCGGCUAACUUCGUGCCAGCCGCCGCCGUAACAC